UGAGGAAUAUUGGACAAUGGGCGCAAGCCUGAUCCAGCCAUGCCGCGUGCAGGAAGAAGCAUCUAUGGUGUGUAAACUGCUUUUGUACGGGAAGAAACACUCCUACGUGUAGGAGCUUGACGGUACCGUAAGAAUAAGGAUCGGCUAACUCCGUGCCAGCAGCCGCGGUAGUACGGAGGAUCCAAGCGUUAUCCGGAAUCAUUGGGUUUAAAGGGUCCGUAGGCGGUUUAGUAAGUCAGUGGUGAAAGCCCAUCGCUCAACGAUGGAACGGCCAUUGAUACUGCUAGACUUGAAUUACAAGGAAGUAACUAGAAUAUGUAGUGUAGCGGUGAAAUGCUUAGAUAUUACAUGGAAUACCAAUUGCGAAGGCAGGUUACUACUUGUGGAUUGACGCUGAUGGACGAAAGCGUGGGGAGCGAACA
rnacentral:rRNA from 1 species